CUUUGAAGAAAGCUGAGUGCUGUGAUAGCCGAGCCAGACAGAGGAAAUCAACGGCACCCGCAUUGUGGCCAACUGUGUGUCCAGCACAGACACGCACAGGCAUUGACUCACCUGGAGGAAGAGUAAGGCCAAUCCCCCAAGGCCACCUGCCCAGAGAACAGCUAGACUUUCAUCCUGCAGGAGAAGGGGACAGGAAAAAGGAGCCUGCCGUUCUGGCGACUGUGCAGUCCCCUAGGAAGAAGAUGGAGGCAGAGGAAGGAGAGAGUCCAGGCUGGGUCUCAAACACAACGAGUACCCUGGCGGCGAGAGGGAUGAUGCUGAGGCCUGGAGAAUGGGAGUUGGAUAACCCAGUCUCAUCUAGACAACUACCUUUACAGGCAUCUCCUCCCUCCCAAUAUUUUGUUGGGUUGAGGAGCAUCCAGCGCACUCAGCAUCCAUUCCCACUCCUGGCGUGCCUUCCCACUCAGCAGAGGCUGGAGACAGACAUUACAACUCCAUGGCUGGCUUGCAGCGAGGGUUUGCCAUUCGAAUCGGGUUCUGCCAAUUAGAUGCACGCGUGCCAGAUUUGAGUGGGGGAAGUGAAGUGGAGACCAUUUUCCUGCUGUCUUUACUGUUUCUCCAGGCAAGAAAGAUCAUGAAGAUAGGAGACUGUGGCAGCCAUGAGAAUAAGUCUCUCACUUCUCCACUGCAAGGGCUGGAACAGACCCACCGCCUGCUACUGCGCUCUGAGAUCCACCAGCACAUUCACCCCCGGCAGCCGCGCUUCCCACGGGCUGGGAAUUAUCUCAUUUUAUUUAAUUCUCACAAUGAAGCAGGUCUUAUGAUGAGCCCCAUUUUGCAUUUGAGGACAUCGAAGCUUAAAGACAUUAUGCAAUUCCCCCAAAGUUACGUGGCUAGUAAAGGACAGGCUCUCCUACCUGAUCCAUUGUGCAGGUACCAUGUGCCAGGUGCCAGGUGCCAAGCCAGGAUCAGCAGGGAGGUUAUUUCGCACACUCCUCACUAUAAAGCAGUAGAAAUGCCAGCACCAGGAGUCCAGCAGCGACAACAGAGACGGAGACACACUGCCCGAGGACAGACAGCUAGCAAGUCAAAGGGCGAGAUUCAAGCCGUGAUGGCCAGUUCCAGACAGAAGUGUUUAACCACUGCCCAUUCUCAGACAGAGCAAGGCUCCAUCUGCCAAAUUACACGGGGAAUAGGCAACUCAGGUGGCUGAAUUUGGUCCAAGACUUGCUUGCAUUGUAAGGCAUCACCGAGAAGCGAGGUUUCGGAGGAAACUGCUUUCCUCACACACCUCUGAUCAUUGGAAACCAUGAAUACUCAACAAGAAGAAGCUGAUCGCUGUGAACUGGCAAAUUAGCCUAGGUCAGGUCACAAGAAUGGGCAUCUUUAAAGUUUGCUUUAUUGUGUCAAUAUCCCCUUCAGUGCUAUUAAAUACCAAGGAAAAAAUGAAACGCAAC
rnacentral:lncRNA from 1 species